UACGAAGGGGGCUAGCGUUGUUCGGAUUUACUGGGCGUAAAGCGCACGUAGGCGGAUCUUUAAGUCAGAGGUGAAAUCCCAAGGCUCAACCUUGGAACUGCCUUUGAUACUGGGGAUCUUGAGUCCGGGAGAGGUGAGUGGAACUGCGAGUGUAGAGGUGAAAUUCGUAGAUAUUCGCAAGAACACCAGUGGCGAAGGCGGCUCACUGGCCCGGUACUGACGCUGAGGUGCGGAAAGCGUGGGGAGCAAACAGGG
rnacentral:rRNA from 1 species